GGCGGCGUAGCUCAGCGGUAGAGCAGAGGAAUCAUAAUCCUUUGGUCGGGGGUUCAAAUCCCUCCGCCGCCACCA
rnacentral:tRNA from 1 species